GGAUUCACCUAUUCCUUCAAGAAGCCUUGGGUCCCUUGACCCAAAUAAUUUGGACCCAAGGAAUUUGGAAUUUGGAGAGCAAGCUAUGGACCCUCUGUUGCACCUAUUGCUUAAAGGCGUCAAUCUGCCUGGCUUUCCCUGUGGACAGACCUAGGGGUAUGGAGGCAAACCUCGGAGAUAUUGCAGGUUUAGUCCAGACUACCACAACAAAGCAAAUACUGAAAUAAAGCCAGUCACACAACUUUUAUUUCUCCAUUCAUAUGAAAGAUCCAUCAGAAGAAUCACUAUAUAUGGCACCUAUAGCCUUACAAAAUGUGUAUCUUAAAUAAUGAGACUUGAAAGUUGAAAUGACACCUUGACCCAUGGGCUGCGGAAUGGAUGUUGUGUUAACAGACAUGAAAACACAUUAUUCUCUUCGUAAAUCUCCAUCAGAGCUCUUGGAUGACCAGUUGCAUUUUCAAUGAGAAGUAAUAUAGUGAAGAAAUCUUUUUUUCUCUGAACAGUAGGUCUCAACACGGUUUAAAAUAUUCAGUAAGCAUUGCUGUACAGAUGUCCUCUCAUUCAGACUUUGUUGUUCCAUUUAUAAAUCACAGGCAGAUAACUAGCAUACUUG